GACGAACGCUGGCGGCGUGCUUAACACAUGCAAGUCGAACGGAAAGGCCCUGCUUUUGUGGGGUGCUCGAGUGGCGAACGGGUGAGUAACACGUGAGUAACCUGCCCUUGACUUUGGGAUAACUUCAGGAAACUGGGGCUAAUACCGGAUAGGAGCUCCUGCUGCAUGGUGGGGGUUGGAAAGUUUCGGCGGUUGGGGAUGGACUCGCGGCUUAUCAGCUUGUUGGUGGGGUAGUGGCUUACCAAGGCUUUGACGGGUAGCCGGCCUGAGAGGGUGACCGGCCACAUUGGGACUGAGAUACGGCCCAGACUCCUACGGGAGGCAGCAGUGGGGAAUAUUGCACCAUGAGCGGAAGCCUGAUGCAGCAACGCCGCGUGCGGGAUGACGGCCUUCGGGUUGUAAACCGCUUUCGCCUGUGACGAAGCGUGAGUGACGGUAAUGGGUAAAGAAGCACCGGCUAACUACGUG
rnacentral:rRNA from 1 species